rnacentral:rRNA from 1 species
GUAACGGCGAGUGAAGCGGCAACAGCUCAAAUUUGAAAUCUGGUCACCUUACGGAGGCCCGAGUUGUAAUUUGAAGAGGAUGCUUUUGGCGAGGUGCCUUCCGAGUGCCCUGGAACGGGACGCCACAGAGGGUGAGAGCCCCGUAUGGUUGGACACCGAGCCUAUGUAAAGCUCCUUCGACGAGUCGAGUAGUUUGGGAAUGCUGCUCAAAAUGGGAGGUAAACCCCUUCUAAAGCUAAAUAUUGGCCAGAGACCGAUAGCGCACAAGUAGAGUGAUCGAAAGAUGAAAAGCACUUUGAAAAGAGAGUUAAACAGCACGUGAAAUUGUUGAAAGGGAAGCGCUUGCGACCAGACUUGCGCCCGUCGGAUCAACCGUCGCUUGUCGGCGGCGCACUCCGGCGGGCUCAGGCCAGCAUCAGUUUUCCCGGGGGGAGAAAGGCGGUGGGAAUGUAGCUCCUAGGAGUGUUAUAGCCCGCCGCGUAAUACCCUCGGGGGGACUGAGGACCGCGCAUC